CGAGAAGUUGUUAACAUUUCGGGUAACAGUGGCUUCGUUUCAGCCGUAUCUGUCGGAGACUGAACAGAAUCACACAGUCACACAGGCCAUCGACCCGAAACAACAUUGCAACCAAGAGCUGAGCAGGACGUCUCGGUGGUGUAAACUGUCCCAGAAUGCCCAGCGAAGUGGAAAACGACUGCUGCCAAGAAAUACAAAAGGUUGUAAUACGAAUGGAGCAGCUUCCAGUCCAGCCUAGAUGCCUGGUGAACCAAACAGGCCUAGAGCUUGAAUCCAUCCAUCCAGCCUGCAGAACAUUAACAACUAAGAGUGGACUAUAAACCUUUUUUUUUUUACAUCUAAUGAGAUACAGCCUUCUACAAUUAAAUUGAAACAUGUCUCAUUAUACCACAGCACCUGAAUAACUAGAAUGAAAUGAAUGUUAAUCUCAUUAUAAAUGAAUGUUUUCCUCAAUAUAAAUAAAUGUUUUCAAAUGUAAGAA
ensembl:lncRNA